rnacentral:rRNA from 1 species
UACGUAGGGGGCUAGCGUUGUCCGGAAUCAUUGGGCGUAAAGCGCGUGUAGGCGGCCCGAUAAGUCCGCUGUGAAAGUCGGGGGCUCAACCCUCGAAAGCCGGUGGAUACUGUCAGGCUAGAGUACGGAAGAGGCGAGUGGAAUUCCUGGUGUAGCGGUGAAAUGCGCAGAUAUCAGGAGGAACACCCAUUGCGAAGGCAGCUCGCUGGGACGGUACUGACGCUGAGACGCGAAAGCGUGGGGAGCGAACAGG